UGGAAGGAUCGAUACAUGAAGGUGUACAAGUUUAUAACUUUCGUCACAAUUUCUUCCUAGAGAAAAAUGUUUUCUGAUGACUGUAAAUUCUGAAGUUAUAAUUUACGGACAGAUACGGAGCAAACAUUC